CUGGCUCAGGAUGAACGCUAGCUACAGGCUUAACACAUGCAAGUCGAGGGGCAGCAUGGUCUUACCUUGCUAAGGCCGAUGGCGACCGGCGCACGGGUGAGUAACACGUAUCCAACCUGCCGUCUACUCUUGGACAGCCUUCUGAAAGGAAGAUUAAUACAAGAUGGCAUCAUGAGUCCGCAUGUUCACAUGAUUAAAGGUAUUCCGGUAGACGAUGGGGAUGCGUU
rnacentral:rRNA from 1 species